UAGGGAAUAUUAGUAAUGGGCGAAAGCCUGAACUAGCAACGCCGCGUGUGCGAAGAAGGCCUUCGGGUUGUAAAGCACUUUUUGAGAGGAUGAGGAAGGACGGUACUCUCAGAAUAAGUCUCGGCUGACUGCGUGCCAGCAGCCGCGGUAACACGUAGGAGGCGAACGUUAUCCGGAUUUACUGGGCGUAAAGCGCGUGUAGGUGGUUUGGUAAGUAGGGCGUGAAAGCUCCUGGCUCAACUGGGAGAGGCCGUUCUAAACUGCCGAACUAGAGGAUGGUAGAGGGAGGUGGAACUCCGGGUGUAGCGGUGGAAUGCGCAGAUAUCCGGAGGAACACCAGUGGCGAAAGCGGCCUCCUGGACCAUUCCUGACACUCAGACGCGAAAGCUAGGGUAGCAAACGG
rnacentral:rRNA from 1 species